rnacentral:rRNA from 1 species
AUGUAUCCCAACCUCUAUUGCUCUCGCGUAAAGACUUUUUUUUGCGCGACAGGAAAAAGUGACUACGAAUUCCCCUUUUUGUUUGCGAAUCCCUGUUUGUAUCCUUUGAGCGCACGCCCAUUAAGUAGCGAUCAAAUCAAGGAAAUCGAUCAAACGAUCCCCGUGCCAGCCCAAAUCAUGAUCUUCACCAACUUGGAUUUGGUUCUCUCGCGAAAAUCGCGAGUUGCAGAGAUGAGAACCAUGAAAAGCAAGAUCCCGAAUAAGAAAACAGAAACCGAGGAAGAGGAAACCACAAGAGUGAAGACUAGUAGAGUCUCGUCUUUUGUCAUUCUUUGCUCCUUUUUCACUCAAUGA